UACAGAGGUCCCGAGCGUUGUUCGGAUUCAUUGGGCGUAAAGGGUGCGUAGGCGGCGGGGCAAGUCUGAUGUGAAAUCCCGGGGCUCAACCCCGGAACUGCAUUGGAUACUGCCUUGCUAGAGUACUGGAGAGGGAACUGGAAUUUACGGUGUAGCAGUGAAAUGCGUAGAGAUCGUAAGGAAGGCCAGUGGCGAAGGCGGCUUCCUGGACUCAUACUGACGCUGAGGCGCGAAAGCGUGGGGAGCAAACAGG
rnacentral:rRNA from 1 species